rnacentral:lncRNA from 1 species
UAGAAUUUUCUCUCUCUAGAUUGUUUCUCUCUCUUGAUGGAUUUCUCUCUCUCUAAAGUUAUUCCUCUAGGAUUAGCAUAGUGGAAGGUUUCAUUUGAUGAUUUUGAUCGAGUUUAGAAAAAAGUCUGAUUUUAAGUGAGGUUUUGCUUUGGAAUUUGUUUAGAUUGAAUUUUGAAUUAAAAUUAAUGUAAAAAUAUAAUUUUGGAUAAUAGGCAUGGAAGAAUCUCCUAGAAGUUAGUCGAUCUUUUCAUUCAGUGCUCCGUGAAAGGUAAGUAAUGAAUCAUCUUCUCGAGAUAUUUCAUAUUUUAUUCUGAAAAUAAAUAAUUAUUCUCUGAAAUUAUGCAUGAUUUAUGAAAUUAU